rnacentral:rRNA from 1 species
GCAGUCGCCGCGGGAACACGGAGGGUGCAAGCGUUAUCCGGAUUUAUUGGGUUUAAAGGGUCCGUAGGCGGAUCUGUAAGUCAGUGGUGAAAUCUCACAGCUUAACUGUGAAACUGCCAUUGAUACUGCAGGUCUUGAGUAAAUUUGAAGUGGCUGGAAUAAGUAGUGUAGCGGUGAAAUGCAUAGAUAUUACUUAGAACACCAAUUGCGAAGGCAGGUCACUAAGAUUUAACUGACGCUGAUGGACGAAAGCGUGGGGAGCGAACAGGAUUAGAUACCCGGGUAGUCCCUGUCUCUUAUAC